rnacentral:lncRNA from 1 species
UGGUUUGCGUGAGUCGGGCUGCCCAAGAUACCCUUUUGCCGGCAUGCAGGAGCCCAUCACGAACUUGCCUAGAACCGGCUACAGAUGCGGUGUGUUGGCUCAGUUCGCUUAUUUUAUAAGUCGUAUUUUUUCUGACAGCUAGUAAUAUUUUUCUUUCAUAAUAACUCAAUGAACAAUAAUAUUUUCAGUUGUGUGCCUAACCGGAGGGUGGUGGUGGUGGGCGAAACGAAAACGAAGGGAAGUUUGGUGCUUGGGAUGCUGUUAGCCUGUUUGGCAGUUUCCUGCUACAAGCAAGUCCCGCGAUGUCUUGCUUUUGGCGGUUUGGCCGGCUAGAUCGCCAAAAUGGUGCAACGUGCUCUGGUUGCUCAGCUUGGGUGCCAUUUGUCGUUGCCGACGUGCUUCGGUCUCAGAUUUCGAUUGGUGUCGACCAAUGCGGCUUCAGUAAAUGCCGAGGAUGUUUGGCUUGGCCCGGCAUGCCAGGGUUCUGCAUAAAUCGAACAGAAAUUAAGUUGCUGCAGAAAAAAAAACUAAUUUUUUACAGGUGCUUGUGUAAUAGUAAUUGUAAUGACUUACCACAGUCAAGAUCUCUGUACAAAUACAAAUUAACUUAGUGUAUCAUUUGUGUGUUUUAUAAUAAACAUCUCACACGGAAGAAACAUAAGGGCACUCACAAUGUAAGACUCUACCACAGAGUCUAAGACAAUUAAUUACAUAUUAUUUAUGGUAUUUUGCUGAUGUGGCAGCAUAUUUAUUGAAGAAAG